GGCCCCGUAGCUCAGCCAGGAUAGAGCGGCGGCCUCCUAAGCUUACGAGGGCGAAGUGAGCCGUAGGUCGUGGGUUCGAAUCCCACCGGGGCCG
rnacentral:tRNA from 1 species